rnacentral:rRNA from 1 species
UACGAAGGGGGCGAGCGUUGUUCGGAUUUACUGGGCGUAAAGGGCGCGCAGGCGGCUCAUUUUGUCAGGCGUGAAAGCCCCGGGCUUAACCUGGGAACUGCGUUUGAGACGGAUGGGCUAGAGUUCGGGAGAGGAGAGUGGAAUUCCCAGUGUAGAGGUGAAAUUCGUAGAUAUCGGGAGGAACACCAGUGGCGAAGGCGGCGAUCUGGGAAGAUACUGACGCUGAGGUGCGAAAGCGUGGGGAGCAAACAGG